rnacentral:rRNA from 1 species
AUACAUGCAAGUCGAGCGAACUGACGAGGAGCUUGCUCCUUUGACGUUAGCGGCGGACGGGUGAGUAACACGUGGGUAACCUACCUAUAAGACUGGAAUAACUCCGGGAAACCGGGGCUAAUGCCGGAUAACAUAUCGAACCGCAUGGUUCGAUAGUGAAAGACGGUUUUGCUGUCACUUAUAGAUGGACCCGCGCCGUAUUAGCUAGUUGGUGAGGUAACGGCUCACCAAGGCGACGAUACGUAGCCGACCUGAGAGGGUGAUCGGCCACACUGGAACUGAGACACGGUCCAGACUCCUACGGGAGGCAGCAGUAGGGAAUCUUCCGCAAUGGGCGAAAGCCUGACGGAGCAACGCCGCGUGAGUGAUGAAGGUCUUCGGAUCGUAAAGCUCUGUUGUUAGGGAAGAACAAAUGUGUAAGUAACUGUGCACAUCUUGACGGUACCUAACCAGAAAGCCACGGCUAACUACGUGCCAGCAGCCGCGGUAAUACGUAGGUGGCAAGCGUUAUCCGGAAUUAUUGGGCGUAAAGCGCGCGUAGGCGGUUUUUUAAGUCUGAUGUGAAAGCCCACGGCUCAACCGUGGAGGGUCAUUGGAAACUGGAAAACUUGAGUGCAGAAGAGGAAAGUGGAAUUCCAUGUGUAGCGGUGAAAUGCGCAGAGAUAUGGAGGAACACCAGUGGCGAAGGCGGCUUUCUGGUCUGUAACUGACGCUGAUGUGCGAAAGCGUGGGGAUCAAACAGGAUUAGAUACCCUGGUAGUCCACGCCGUAAACGAUGAGUGCUAAGUGUUAGGGGGUUUCCGCCCCUUAGUGCUGCAGCUAACGCAUUAAGCACUCCGCCUGGGGAGUACGGUCGCAAGACUGAAACUCAAAGGAAUUGACGGGGACCCGCACAAGCGGUGGAGCAUGUGGUU